rnacentral:tRNA from 1 species
AAGGGAGACCUAAUUCGGGUAUAAGACGAAAAAAUAGUAGUCGAAACCAAGAAUCAAUCCCAAAAGGUCGGAACGAGGUAUGUGGCUUUCAAACUAGGUUCUGGGUUCACAAAAGACCUGAAUCAGGAACAAGGGCUAUUAGCUCAGGUGGUUGGAGCGCACCCCUGAUAAGGGUGAGGUCCCUGGUUCGAGUCCAGGAUGGCCCACCUGCACAGGUGGCAAAAACAAAGAGGCGAGGAAUCAGCACCUUAUCUUACUUAUAUAGUAAGAGAGAAUGCUGGCUCUGAGUAAAGAGUCCAGAGGAACCUUGAAAACUGCAUAGAGCUAGGUGAAAAAGCCAAAAAAGAAGACCGCAA